AUGGUGAGGUCAGCGAUUUGCGGCAUCUCCCUCGUCCUCUCCGGUGACCCACUGGUCGUCCCCCCCUGCGCCGCCGCCGCCGCCGCCAAGGCGGAGGAGAUCCGUUACUCCGGCGAGGGGAAGGGCGUGUCGGCUGAUGAGCUCAAGGAGGCUCUGCGGCGGAGAGGCCCUGACAGCCUCGGCUGCGUAAGGCGCCGCCUUUGCUCUGACGGCACGGUUCUAGGGGCUGAUGGAUGCGAUGGUGGAGGAGAGGGUAAAGCCGGCGUGGGUGAUGGUGGUGUUGCUGAUUUGCUCUUCAUUGGAGCAACACUGCAUCUUAGGGGAGCUGAGCUGGUUGUGCAACCACUUGUGUCCCCGUCUGGAAGUAUUCUUGUUUAUAAUGGUGAGAUAUACGGAGGAAUUGAAAUUGCCGAUGAUGAAAAUGACACCCAGGCUCUUUUUUCUUCACUGGAAUCUUGCUGUUCAUGUGACUGCCAUGUGACUAGUAGAGAUAAAACUUGUUCUUGUGCAAGUGGUGGCAAAUCAGUUCCACAAAUCCUUUCCGCAAUCAAAGGUCCUUGGGCUUUGAUAUACUGGCAGAUGGACUCAAAUACGAUUUGGUUUGGCCGGGAUGCAUUUGGAAGGAGAAGCUUAUUGGUACAUUGGCCCACAUCUGAUGACACACGCUUCGUAUUAUCAUCAGUAGCACCCCCUUCAUUUGCAAGAAAUAACUCUGAUGCAACAGUUAAUGGUUUUGUGCCAGGUCCUGACAUCUCUAAAUGUACCAAAGCUAGCUACUGGGACGAGCUUCCUUGUGGGAUAUACAGUAUCCUCAUGAAAAAUAUCAGGAAAAAUGGCACAUGCGCGAAGGAAGGAUGGAUUGUUGAAGUUAACACACAUGAAUGGAUGGAUUCUUCCUUGAAUAAAUUAAUUCAAUGGGAGAGGAAACUGACAGUUCCUGCUAUAGAGAAGAGUUCUAUUGAUGGAGGGAACCAUCACUCGUCGCAGAACUUUGUAAGCUCAGGGGAAUCUGAAGAAAAUAAUAAAAAUGGGGUCAUGAAGAUAGAUCUCCUUUCGAAUUCUAGCUUAGGUUCAGCAAAUUGCAUAACACAGUCAGCAAAUAAAGUAUUGGUUGCAUUACGGGAAUCUGUAAUGCUGCGGACUAAGAUGAACACACUCUUUCAGGGUGGUUUGAAUAAAUUUAGGGACAAAGAGUCAGCCCCAAUAGCGGUCCUCUUUUCCGGUGGCUUAGACUCCAUGAUACUUGCAGCAUUGUUAGACCAGUGCAUUGACCCCAAGUGGACAAUUGAUUUAUUAAAUGUCAGUUUUGAUGGUCAGCUUGCCCCAGAUAGGAUUUCUGCAAUGGCAGGACUGAGGGAGCUUCAGAGGAUCUCUCCACUACGGAGAUGGCAUCUUGUUGAGAUUGACACUGCUUUGACUGACUUGAAAGGGGAAAGUGAACACGUGAUGUCACUCAUACACUCUUCAAAUACUUAUAUGGAUUUAAACAUCGGUAUUGCUCUCUGGUUGGCUGCUGGUGGGGAUGGUUGGGUGGAUGGGAGUGCAUGUCUUAUGCAAGAUGACUCUCGCCAUAAGUACAAGUCAAAAUCAAGAGUCCUAAUCAUUGGUUCUGGUGCUGAUGAGCAGUGUGCCGGUUAUGGUAGACAUUGGACUAAAUACAGGCUUGGAGGGUGGAAUGCACUGAAUGAGGAGAUGAGACUAGAUGUGCAAAGAAUAUGGAAAAGAAACAUGGGAAGAGAUGAUAGAUGCAUUUCUGAUCAUGGCAAGGAGGCCCGUUUCCCAUUUCUUGAUGAGAAUGUGAUAAAAACUUUGUUGGACAUUCCGUUAUGGGAGAUUGCUAAACUUGAUGAACCUGUGGGAAAGGGCGACAAGAAGAUCUUGAGAGAGGUUGCAAGGCUGCUGGGACUACAAGAAGCUGCUCUUCAGCCAAAGCGAGCAAUCCAGUUUGGCUCAAGAAUAGCAAGGGAGUCAAACCGCAAGAACUUUGGGAACAACCGAGCUGCGAACCAGGCAUCAGCAGGCAGUGUGCAGAUUCACCAGCAUAUGAACCCACUACCCCUCUUCGAUUUCCCGCCUAAUCAUACCCCACCACCGCGCGCUCGCGUCGAAUUCGAACCGGCCAUUCGGAGCUCGAAUUUGAAUUCGAGCUCGAAUCACCCGCGCCGGGAGCGAGGGCGAGCUGGGGGAGCUCGAUUCGAUGCGGUGCUGAGCGUGGGUCAACCAAUUUGGGCCGGGCGGUGGCGCGGUCGGCGGGAUCUGAACCCUAGCGGCCGGCCGGAUCUGAGAGACCGCGCCGGCGAGGUGCUCGGCGGUAUGAGUGGUUGGGAAGGGCACAGAGGAGAAGCGGAGAUAUGAGCGGAGGCGGCGGGAGCGGCACCGGGGACGAGUUCGGGCGGGCGGUGGCGCGGGCCGCGGUGGCGCAGGCGCUGGAGGCCGCGGGGUUCGACUGCGCGCACCGCUCCGCGGUGGACGCGGUCGUUGACGUCCUCCUGCGCUACAUCUCCCACCUGGGCCGGUCCGCGGCCUUCAACGCCAACUUCGCCGGCCGCGCGCUCGCCAACGAGCUCGACGUCAUCCAGGCGCUCGAGGAGGUCGGCUCCGACACGGACGGGUUUGCGGGCGCGUCCGCCACGGGGCACUGCCUCGUCGGCUCCGGCGUCGUCAGGGACCUCAUGGCGUUCGUCGACACCAAGGACGAGGUGCCGUUCGUGCGGCCGCUGCCCAGGUUCCCUGUGCCGCGCGUGCAGCCGCAGCCCUCUGCCAGCUUCGCGGUGGCCGGGAGGGAAACCGGGAUGAAGCACGUGCCUGAGUGGCUCCCGGUUUUCCCUGAUCCGCACACCUAUGUGAGGACAGAGGCGUGGGUUGAGCCGCCGGCAACCAAGGACCGGGUGGACAAGGUGGAACAGGUGCGGCAACGGAGGAAGGCUGAGAAGUCCCUGCUCAGCUUGCAGCAAAGGCUAGCACAGGCUGGUGCUGAAGGAUUUCAUCCAGCAGUUGGGCUCACACAGGAUAGCACGGAGAAGGGCAAGGAGAUACUGGCAGCUGGGACCAAGAGAAAUCCAUUUCUUGAGCCAGCAUUGCCGCCUGGAGAGAAGGAUAUAUCCGAGGUUGAUAUGCCUCCUGAAAAGAAGAAACUCUCUGUCCUUGAGGCAUUUGCACCAGCUAUUCAAGCUACAGCCAUCAGGGAGAUUGAUGCUGGGACAGGGUUAGAUCAAAACCAAAGGAGCAUCGUUCCAAAAGAGAGGGCGCCAGUACACCUCAAGAUUGGAUUUGGUAAGAAGCCUGUAGCAGCUGUCCCGAAUUCAGGAGCCCUGGAUCUGAGGGAUGAUCCUUCCUUCUUGAAGGAGGAAGCGAAGGAUGACAAGAAGCGGAGAGCAGGGAUGAUAUUAAGAGCAUCAAUGGAGAACCCACAGGAACUUCCUCAACUCUGAAGUGAUUUAUGGAUGAACUGCGGUGACAGAAUGGAAUCGCAUCACAGUGCGAUUGAGUUUAUUGGAGCUAUGGAUAUUUCAGAUUGAUGGUGGAACUUCAAUUUCCAGAAUCUUGAGGCCAUGCGUCGGUGAUACGACUUUCCUUGUAUCUUAAUGACAUCAGAAGCAUUCUUAGAACAUUGCUAACAGCACCCAGGCUCUCCCUUCCCCACCUACCAUUUUCCUGGAAUCACAAGGCACUGGUUAUUCUGCAGCGCUGCAACUGAAGUUCCACCGUUUCACCCCCAUUCAACUUAGGUUCUGCUGGUAUUUCACCGCUAAGGCGUUAACUGUAAGUGAGCCACUUCAUACGGAGCUGAUUUUGGAGGCCGUGUUUCCUCUCCCCAGACAUGGCGUCCAAAAUAAUGAUGCUCCCGAGUUACUUUUUGUAGCUGUAUUCCCUGGUAGAAUUGAAAAGAGAUGUUUGUACAAAAGCUAACCUGAUUCUCCUGACCUAGACUCCAAGACUUGUCUCGGUCAGGAUUGAUGUACCUAGUGGGUUACUCCCAAGAGCCAGCUUCUUUAUGUUACAUGUUGGCCUAAUAGCUCCGGCCUGAAGUUUGGUCGCCGGCCUGCGAUCUGGGCGCUUUCAAAACACCUGAUGGGACUCAUUUCAUGAUGAUUUGAUUGAUUCAAAGAAGAUUUGACCUAUGUGAGUCCAUAUCCUCUGCGGACUAAUGUAGUGCUUUGCAGUUGGGAGACUUAAGCGUUUGAUUGCCCUUUUCUGGGACUGUAAUAACUGUGUCCAUAUUGAUUCUUUCGGCUCCUUUCCCUCUA